UCAUAGAUUAUUUUACCAGAAGCUGCAUUGGUACUUGUGGCAUUAUACUGACAAAAACUUUGCAGAAAUGUGAAAGUAUUUUUUGUUGGAACGGAAAUAGUUUUGGAAUUGUCAAGUGAAAGGUCAAAGAAUGUUUUACUCUUUCCUCACUGAUGGACAAUGGACGGAUGCAGUUCAUUGUUUAGAUAAGACUAUUCUCAGCAACUUCACGGGUUUGAGGGUGAUAACCACACCCCAGAUAAAUGGUGCGAUUGUGUUAUUUAUUGCAGGGCACACGGUGGAGGUGGCGUGCCCCUGGCUGACUGCCGCCACGCCGCCGCUGGGCGGGGGAGGGGCGGGGGCACGGCGCUGACCGCACAUGUUGACGGGCUGUCACUCCGAGUUGCGUUGCGGCCGGGAUAAGACGGGCAGCUCCUUCGGUCUUGGCGACUCCUCCUGUGGAAGGCAAGCGUGGCAGAGCAGCGGCAGCGGCGAGGGAGACGAGACGCAGUGCGGGGCAACACAUGGCCGGUGAUGGCUCUCCCGUGACGCCUCCGACGGCAGCUGCGUCCCGCCCCGCACCGCCGUCCCUCCCGCGGCGCCGCCCGUCGAGCUGAGCGUCCCUGUGGCUGGUUCCGGAGUGCUCGCGGGUUGGCAUGGCGUCCCGGGGCCUCGCCAAGCUGUCCUGUUCCCCGCGUGCCAGACUUCUGCCCGCUGGCCGCUAAAUGGAAGAACCUGAGAAUUGGCUCUUGUCCCUCACAAUCCGCGGCGGCCUGAAUCCCGCCCUCAAGAUGUAGAGCCGUCCACGCCUCCCUGCAGGACGACCGGCUGUGUGCAGGACAGCUGGACAGGACAAGGACAGGACUCGCGUCAACGCGCUAUUUAUGCAGACACACGCACACACUCACACACAUACACACACGCACGCACGCACGCACUCUUAACCCUUCUGAUAGACUCCAUGUGUGAGAAGACAUCGUUGUAGACUCUUGGAAGCAACGCUGGUGUCUGUUGUGACGUGUGAAGCUCCUGACAGACUGACUGACCUUCCUACGUGAGAGGAGAAAGGUGCAAGUGUGAUUAAGAACUGAGCAGUAUUCGUGUCUGUGUAACAUUUAUUAAAGUGGACAACCUACGCUGUUCCCAAGGCUAGUAGCGGCUGCGGCAGCGGCGGCGGCGGCGGUGCAGUGUGGUUAAGAAUUGAUCAUCACUUUGAAAAGACAUUAAUUCUCCUCAAACACCUACUGAGGGAACCACCAGUGCCCCUCUCAGCCCCAGGGCGUUAGGGCACCAAGGGCGUGAGUGAUCUUGUCUACUGAUCUGCGCAGCGAGACGAGGAUGAAGAGGGUGCGGCCCGGAGCGUGGGUGGUGGUGGUGCUGGUCGCCGCCCUGGCCUGUCACCACGUCACGGCGACCUGGUGGCUCCUUGGACUCAACAGUGCCCAGAUGCAGAGUUCGGCGGAGCUGGAGCCACAGGUUGGG